rnacentral:rRNA from 1 species
GUCCACGCCCUAACGAUGACGACUAGUUGUUGGAGGAGUUAAAUCCUUUAGUAACGCAGCUAACGCGCGAAGUCGUCCGCCUGGGGAGUACGGUCGCAAGAUUAAAACUCAAAGGAAUUGACGGGGCCCGCACAAGCGGUGGAUGAUGUGGUUUAAUUCGAUGCAACGCGAAAACCUUACCUACCCUUGACAUGCUAGGAAUCCUGCAGAAAUGCAGGAGUGCCCGAAAGGGAACCUAGACACAGGUGCUGCAUGGCUGUCGU